CAGCAGCCGCGGUAAUACGAGGGGGGCAAGCGUUGUUCGGAAUUAUUGGGCGUAAAGGGCGCGUAGGCGGUUUGACAAGUCUGAUGUGAAAUCUAUGGGCUCAACCCAUAGCCUGCAUUAGAAACUGUCGGGCUUGAGUAUGGGAGAGGUGAGUGGAAUUUCCGGUGUAGCGGUGAAAUGCGUAGAUAUCGGAAGGAACACCUGUGGCGAAAGCGGCUCACUGGACCAUAACUGACGCUGAGGCGCGAAAGCUAGGGGAGCAAACAGGAUUAGAUACCCCAGUAGUCCCUGUCUCUUAUAA
rnacentral:rRNA from 1 species